ACACCGAUGGUGAAGUGGUUAUCAUGCUUGCCUUCCACGAUUGGAAACCGACAAGGUUGCCUCCCCGUGAGCAAGCGGCACGGGUUCGAUUCCCGUUCGGUGUA